UACGUAGGGUCCGAGCGUUGUCCGGAAUUACUGGGCGUAAAGAGCUCGUAGGUGGUUUGUCGCGUUGUUCGUGAAAACUCACAGCUCAACUGUGGGCGUGCGGGCGAUACGGGCAGACUAGAGUACUGGCAGGGGAGACUGGAAUUCCUGGUGUAGCGGUGGAAUGCGCAGAUAUCAGGAGGAACACCGGUGGCGAAGGCGGGUCUCUGGGCAGUAACUGACGCUGGAGGAGCGAAAGCGUGGGGAGCGAACAGG
rnacentral:rRNA from 1 species